UCCCUCUCAUUGUCACACUUGUAGCAGUUGCUAAAUAGUCCCACAUCAAGACCACAAUCACCGCCCCUCCUCCAAAGUCACAAACUCCUCUCUCUGUCUCUCUCUAAAAUGCCCAUAAACCACUACCCCUCAGACCUCCCCCAAUCACUCUGGUGGAUACACCCCCAACAACCCCUCAUGGACCCAACAACUCCCAUUAAACCCUCAGACCACCACCGAACCGCCGCCAACGCCGCCUCCCCAUUCUCCGCCCCUCUCAAUUUCAACCUCAACCAAUACAACGACGAGUUCGACAGCUCUCUCGACAGAGAAUCUGAGAGCCCCGACAAGCGGCAAUUGCGAAUCGGCAACGACCAAUUCAAUCUGGACGUGAUAAAAGAGCCGAUGUUCGAGAAGCCGCUGACGCCGAGCGACGUGGGGAAGCUGAACAGGCUGGUGAUCCCGAAGCAGCACGCCGAGAAGCACUUCCCGCUGGGAUCGGGCGGGGGCGGAGGGAGCGGAGACUCGGGGGGGCUGCUGCUGAGUUUCGAGGACGAGUCGGGGAAGUCGUGGAGGUUCCGGUACUCGUACUGGAACAGCAGCCAGAGCUACGUGCUGACCAAGGGAUGGAGCCGCUUCGUCAAGGAGAAGCGGCUCGACGCGGGGGACGUCGUCUUGUUCCUGCGCCACCGGGUCGACGCCGACCGGCUUUUCAUAGGGUGGAGGCGGCGGGGGGCGGCGCCGGGUCAAGUACUGGUGGCGGGUGGGAGUGGGGCGGGAGUGAAUAGUGGAGGUGGGGGUAGUGGGUGGGGCCGCCGCGUGUACUAUUCUGCGCAUGCUUAUCCUGUGCACCCACAGCCAGCUCCUCAUGGAAAUGGGCCUUGUUUUCCCUACCAACCUGACUGUCUUCAUGCAGGAGCAGGUGGGCAGAACCAAACGUCGUCCUCUAGCAAAAACUCCAAGACACUAAGGUUAUUUGGGGUGAACAUGGAGUGCCACCAGCAGCCGCCGUCGCUGCUGCCAGAUGAGUCCGAGCCAUCCACACCAGAUGGUUCAUCGACAUCGAGCCAGGGCGGUCAACCCCACUACUACCACUACUCCACCAACCUACCUCAUCCUUCUAGUUCUAACCACAUGGAAUCCUGGUCUUAGGGUAACCCCAUGUGCUAAGAUGCAUUUUUCCACCCCACUUGAGAACAUUUCACAACUGUGUGAAAGGAAUUGGGGACACUUGCACAAGAAAAGAAAGGGGAAGAAACAGUGCAUGAUUGCUUUACAUUGGCACAUAAAUCUACAUCAGUACUAUGUGGGGGGCCAUCAGAUCAUCGACCAUGCUGAGAGAUAGAUGACUUUUGCUGGGUCUCGCUAAUCAGUGUGGUCCUGCCUUCCUAGCUAGCCAGCUAGAGAUAUGUAUUGGAGCCCAUAAAGUCAACAAUGGAAUUCAAGCAGAAGGCACAGGAUACCAACUACUUAAGAGGUGUCAACCAGAUGAGAUAUCACCAAGGAUGAAGAUCUGUGGAUGUGACUUUCAUGAUUUUUGACUAUUUAAGGCACUUGGAAUGUCCACUAUAAAAAAAAAAAAGAGAAAAGAAAAGAAAAAAAGAAGGGGAAAUGGAAGUCCAAAAAAAUGGGGAAAAUCCCAGAUUUUCAGGCAGCUCCCUCAUUAAGAAAAAUGGUUAUAUCACCAUCAUAUCAUCAAAGCCCCCAGGGUUAAGGUGUGUGCGAGAGUGAGAGAGAGAGAGAGA